rnacentral:rRNA from 1 species
CCUGUCACUGCAGAACAAGGUAAUGCCAGUUAACAGCCGGCGUUAUUGAUGGUAUGCGGAGAGGAAGGGACGGCUAACUCUGUGC